AGACACUUAGUUCAAAGUAAGAAUAUUUGAUUUCGACUCAAAAGCCUGUGGUUAAACCCCACAAUUGUCUU
rnacentral:tRNA from 1 species